AUCUCUAAAAAACAUUCACAUUCCAAAUUCCAUCUCAGCAUCUGUUUCUGGAGAAUUCAGUCUGUGUCAGCAUGGGUACUAUGUUAACAAAUAUUACAAGAAGAUGUUGAUUAGUUCAUCUACCUCCUUACAAAUUUACACAUUCAGAUUCCAGGUUUCUUUUAUUGAAUGUAUCUGCUGUACGGGAAAUUACUCUGGGAAAUUGAUAAGUAAAUAACCAUCUGUGCUGCUCAUCUUGGCGCUUGAACCUCCGACUGAAACUCAAAUGAGACAACAUGGAGGAUGCAUUAUCUGUGUGGUUCACCAAGAGAGGGAACAAUACAGCACUCUAAUCAGCACAUCUAUAUUCAAAGAAAGGCACUGGCUGAAAAAAGCACUGCAGUGAGACAGCAGAGGGACGGAAGAUGAUUCUGGAAAAACGCCUGCUGCUGCCAGCAUUUCACAGAGAGCAAAUGGGAGGAGGGUGAAACUCCUUAAAUUCAAACAUAGCACAGAUAUGUGCAUUACUAUAUGUGGAACCAGGAGAGUUGGAGCUGGAGUGAUACAGCCGACGAGUGCCCCAGUGCUGGGCUGCGACGACUCUGCUUUCCAUAGACAAACCAGAAACAUGAAAUUAUCCAUCCUGAUGGCCGGUGUGGUGUGGGAAUCACUGAGGCUGGGAACCCACAGAUCAAUGGUGUGAACCAGGAAGAUGAAAACAUCAGAUUGGACCAAAACAGACCCAUUUUCUUCACUACUCCAUUCUCUGGUUUUGCCCUAUAUCUUAGGGAAGCAGGAUAAGACACUGACACCCUAACUGUGCUGGGUAUUCCUUGUUGUUCAAUGUGUAUAUACGUAUAGUUUAACUGACUCCUUAGUAAGUUAUGUAUAGUCUGCAGGUUUUAGGGUGUCUGUAGUUCUCCAAAGACACCAGAUUCUCUGUGGCAGAGGACAGCCUACUUUCUCCCCGGCCCUCAGCUCAGGCCUGAGCGAGGCUCUAUAAAUUGUCUUUAUAGAGUAGUGACCUUCUUGAGCAGAAACGAAGGUGAGCAAUGGGUAUAGGACAGGUAAGGCAGCAGGACAAGGCAGGAUAGGUACCGGAUCAAAGGAACUAGAAACAGGCCUUGGGAUGGGGCAGGCAGUUGGUUGGACACUGGAUCUGAGAGGGACGGAGCACCAGUGCAGUGGCAAGUGAAGAUGGGAACAGAGACCCAGGCUGGGAACGUGGAGAAGCGAAGGCCACAUGUGAUGCACAGGAGGAGAUGGGCUGGUGGCCACACGUGUCAGGGAGGUGAGUACGAAGACGAGAAGCACUGCAAACCUGUCAACAUUUUAUGUUUAAUCUUCAUUCAUUAAAGGAAUGAUCGCUACCUGUGUAAUUGUUUGAUUUUAGGCCUGGAAAAAAUGGAGUUUAACUUCAUUGUC